rnacentral:lncRNA from 1 species
GUAAAAGGGGACGCGGAGGAGAAGGAAAGUCGCUCAAGCAGUGGACAGAGCGGAGAAAGCGACUUCGGUUCAGCCUGAGAAAACUCCUGAGCAUGUGCGAAAAAGAAAAGAAGAAAAGAAAAGUAAAGAAAAGAAAAAAGGAAAAAGGGCAAGCUCCUGAGUGGAUCUCUCAGGGAGCCACCAGACAGCCGCAGAGAGAAGAAGCUGCCCAAGAAUGGAAAGGAAGAAAUAUAUCACAUCAUCUGUCUGUCCACAGGCUUUCCUUGGGGCUUAUGAAGAUUUUGACAUUACUGAAAUUAUUGGAAUUACUUUGAGGAACUUUGCCUGUUGAGUGUCUUAUAUGCACAUAAGAACUUUUCCCAUUUGCAGGUGAAAUUUGUAUUUGUUUAUGAAAAUAAUUGAUUGGAUUGAAACAACAUCGGAAUUCAGUUGGCUUUUAGUUUGUAUAUUUACUGUACUUAAUGUGCCAUGGGUUGUGAUUUUGAAUAGAAUCAUAGACAUCCUGUGCAUUUUGGAAGCUUGCCACUGGGAAAGGCUUAAUAUUUGUAAAUUAAUAGUUUGCACUCCUCAAAAAGUGGUUAGGGCAAUAAUUGAAUGUUAGCAAUAAAGCUUAAAAUUUUCCAUCUUUUGAGAUUUCUCCCUCUUUUAAUAAGUAACUUUGUCAAGCAACAUUCUCUAUUGAAGGGAAGAAAACUUUCAAUUGGGUCUUAAUAUACUAUUCACCUUUCCCUUUAUUAAUAUAAAGAUUAUGUUUAGUACUGUGUUUAACAAGAAAUGUACUUACACAAGUAUUUAAUCUUAGCUUUCUUAAGGAAAUAGGCAAAUAUCUUAGUUACUAAUAUUAAAUAUAUUAAAGCUUACACAUAAAGCACUAAAGGAUGUCAGAAUUGAGAAUUUUUUAAUGAAAGAAAAAAUAUUUUGAUGAUUAAUAAAUUAAAAUGUUCUGGGCUGAUUUAUAGAGAAAUAUUCCACCAAAGGUAUCAGUCUUCAUGUCAACUUGCCCUUCCUAACAGUUCUAUAAUUAUCAUUGAGUUUUAAAAAUGUUUAAAUUGGAUUUUCAUGUCUAGGAUUAAGUGUAUAUUAUAGAUAAAAAUGUAGAAUAUGUAUAUAUUUUGUAUUUUCAUGUGAAAUAUAAUCUCUAAUACUACAUAAAUUGUAAUGUAUUACAUUGCUAAUGGAAAUAAAAAUAUGCUGAUACUUUUCUGGGAGGGAGGUUGUUUCACUGAUCAGAUAUUUUUCCUGUGAGAGGGAGAACAUAGUGAUUAAAUACUAUUGCUCUGGCAAGAAAAAUAACAGCAAACCAACUAAACCAAAAAAAGCAAGUAAAGAACAAAACAAAAAACAAUUAAAAUUACAUUAAUGUAACAAUAAUCCGUCAAAUUCCACAGCUUAUUAUUGAAAUUUUCCAUACUGAGAUUUAUUUUUGUUUGCAAUAUCCGAUAUACAGUUGUCUUGGAUAUAGAUUUAUAUUUUAAAGUAGUUAGCAUGCAGUUGACCAAGCCUUUGUUCAUUUGAGGGAGUAUGUGUGAAGGGUUAGAACUAAAGGAUAAAUUAACUCUGUUGAAUUAUUUCUGAAGUUGUUUGCUUCCAGUGAAAAACAAGAAACAUGAUUUGGUAAUACA